rnacentral:rRNA from 1 species
CCUACGGGAGGCAGCAGUGGGGAAUAUUGCACAAUGGGCUAACGCCUGAUGCAGCAACGCCGCGUGAGCGAUGAAGGCCUUCGGGUCGUAAAGCUCUGUCCUCAAGGAAGAUAAUGACGCUACUUGAAGCGUAAGCCCCGGCUAACUACGUACCAGCAGCCGCGGUAAUAGGUAGGGGGCUAGCGUUAUCCGGAAUUACUGGGCGUAAAGGGUGCGUAGGUGGGUUCUUAAGUCAGAGGUGAAAGGGUACGGCUCAACCGUAGUAAGCCUUUGAAACUGGGGAACUUGGGUGCAGGAGAGGAGAGUGGAAUUCGUGGUGUAGCGGUGAAAUGCGUAGAUAUUAGGAGGAACACCAGUUGCGAAGGCAGCUCUCUGGACUGUAACUGACACUGAGGCACGAAAGCGUGGGUAGCAAACAGGAUUAGAUACCCCUGUAGUC